rnacentral:rRNA from 2 species
AGGUGACCUGCGGAGGAUCACUA